CGUACCCGCCGCCCGGUGUGCCGUGAACAUUUCGCCGUGGACACUCGAUGUGAGGGUACGAGGGACACCGAGAUCGAAAAUCGUCCCAAUCGCGGGUGCAAAUCGGUCGGUCGGUCGGUCGGUCGUUCACGCGUGCGGCACAUAUACCGGUACCGCGGUGCAAACGAGCGGGCACGGUAAUCGAAAGAAAGCGCGUACGAAGGCGAGGGCGAUCCUCUCGCACUGCCCUUCGCGCGACCGGCACGCCGGAUCUCCGUAGGGCCCCAAGCGAUGAUGGGGUGGUGCGCAUUGGUACCGCGGCGCCUCUGACAGCACACGGUGCGCAACACGUGGGAAAUCGCGUUCAUCGAUCCCGGUUAGUCGUCGACGUAGAUCGUAUCUGGAUCGAACAUCUCGCCGAGUGGGACUGGUUGGAUUGCACGAGAAGACCACAGAUCCGUUCUCAGUAAAGUGAAAUCGUCGAGGAAGAUUUACAGAUCGAUUCGUUGCAUAGAGCUUGAUACGACGAUUUAAAGUGUCCGUCAUCGAUCGUCAUCGACGUUGAUCCCUUAAAUUGGAGUUGGGAAAGAGUGGCUUUUAAUCGACGGUGCUCAUAAUCAAUCAGGAAGGUGUAGAUCAGGAUCACGAGGACUCGAUGACGGGGAGGAAGCGAAGGAGACUCCGAAUCCCAACGGACGAGAAGGGCAGGCUAGGUCGAAGGGAGGCUACGGAGGACGCCUAAUUAAAGCGAUUAGACUUUGGGGUUAAUUGUUCUGGAACGCCAAACUCUUACAUGAUUCCACGUCGAGGCAACGCCACUGCCACGAUCGCCGUGCUUGUUAUCGUCGUAUCAUCCCUUGGCAGGACUGAAAGGGCGAACGGGCCAAUUUGACAAGGCUCGAGUCAUCGCUUGCUCAAGGUCUCGACAAGCUCGUUUGACCGCAAACGGGACGUCGGCCUUUAGUGUCUACCCGAAAAUCUUGGUGCUAACUAUCCAUUUUGUAAUGCCGUUAUAAUUUCAAUUGUCAAGAGUAUUUUCUAUCUCUGUGAAGAAUGCAUCUGUUCUCUCUUCAGGCCCUCUCUUAUUUUCUUCCUCGAUGGUGAUUGCGUCUGAUCGAUCUUUUCGAUCCAAUUCUCAUUUUCCUGUUCACUUUUCUUUCCUCUUCUAUAUCCUGCAGUGUGAUCAGGUUGGAUCGUUUCGCAAGCAUCUCGCUUGAUAAUACCGUGCCGGUUUCUAUGAUGCAAACAACGGGGACCACGACUCGACGUAUUGCGUGAUCGAUAUGAUCUCGACAAUUGCUCAAUUAGUUUUUUAAACGUGUAUAUAUAUGUAUAGUGCACCGUGAAAGAUUUAUCCGGGUUUCUUCUCUGUGAACGCGCGUGAUUAGUGCGAGGUAUCUCUCCUUCUUGUCUUCAGAUCAUCGAGCGAAAGCGUGGACCGUUUGAGUGUGGGUGAAAACAGCUUGACGACAGUGCGCGAGCUUAAGCCUCACGAGGUGUCAGGUGCCAACCGGGAAGAAGCCACAAGCUGGUGCUGAUUCCGUCAAGAAUCGAUGAUGCGAACGAGCGAUCGCGAUGACGAGUGAUCCGCACGGCAUGACGUUUCGUUCUUACGGAAGAAGCUAGUCGAAACUGACGGACGGUGCGCUUCCUGAUGCUCGCCGUAAUUGUACGACGGUGGACGGGGUCGAUACGGCCGUAAACCCGAUCAGCUGGAAGGAGAUUCGAAGCCGGUGAGUCCAACGGCACCUGCUCAUUGUGCUUAUUCAUUCGGGAUGCUCCGGCGGGUACGCCGCGCGUACAAUGCCGGCUUAAUGGAACACCCAUGGGGACCUUUGGCAUUACUAUGAAAUCUAUCGGCGCGGCUACGGACCGAUGCGACAGACUUAUCGAUGAUGCUCUCUCGGGACCGCGGCGCGUACCCGUUCCUAUCAGGCCGCCGCACUUGCACAGUCACCAAGCGUACGGUAUUUCAAUUGAAGUCAUGUUAACGUAAUCGCGCGAUGAUUCUUCUUCGUUUUUCUUGCCUUUACAGCGGUUCUCUCGAUUUUACCCAAGUCCGCGCUUCCGUCGUCGGACGGAAUCUCGUAGAAUCCACACGCUCGGUUGCCCCCACGUUUCCCGUCGCGAUUUCUUGUCGUUGAAUAAGGAGAAUUGGACGUGGAGAUAUGUCGAGGUAUGACCGGGCGACCAUUUCCGUUUGUCGAAAUCGUGGGGCGGAGAACGAUUUAAGAUUGAAACAGGAAAUUAUGGAGAACGCGUGUAUGAUAUGUAUCUAUCUCGCUUCUGCACGUGCUAAUACGCUCUAUCGAAAUAAUUCAUAUUUUGCCGGCGAUUGCCCAAGAUCGGAGCUAGUUCGUGUCGCGGUACGUCGCUUGAGUACAUGCGAUUACCCGAGGCGGCCAGCGCGAAAAAUAGGAUUUGCGUAGAGUCGUACACGUGGCGGCACGAGAGCGACCGGGGAGAAAAGAGUGGCGUACUCUCAACUUGGACGUGCGGGCUAAGUGGACACGCGCGGACAAUUGCGGACGGCGGGACGUGGUUUUACAAUAAGUCAAUUCGCUCUCGAGCUGCAUAAGAACAGCCUGACAAAAAAAAGAAAAGACAGCCUGGGAUAUAGUUAUUGCGGCUGCACACGUGAACAGGUCGAUCCGGUCGAGUGAGAUCAAAAGAGAGAUGGAGAACGACACAUGAAGAGAAGAAGAGAGAGAUAGAGAUAGAGAGAAAGAGAGAGAGCAGAGAAGAAUGGACGGGGGGCCAGCGAGGAGAGAGGGCCGCGAAGAGGAACAGGAACGAAGGGGAACAGAAACGAAGGCACACGUAUGACACGUAUCGAAGGCGAUAAAGGCCCAAAGGAGAGGAAGAGGGCAGCGGCGGCGAA